CUAGCGACUUCAGAGUUUGAUCCUGGCUCAGGAUGAACGCUGGCGGCGUGCAUAACACAUUCAAGUCGAACGGUGAUAGAGACUUCGGUCUCUUGAUCAGUGGCGGACGGGUGAGUAACGCGUGAGUAACCUGCCUAUCUGAGUGGAAUAACACAGGGAAACUUGUGCUAAUACCGCAUAACAUGUAGAUUUCGCAUGUGAUCUACAUCAAAGAGCAAUCGCAGAUAGAUGGACUCGCGUCUGAUUAGCUAGUUGGUGAGGUAACGGCUCACCAAGGCGACGAUCAGUAGCCGAACUGAGAGGUUGAACGGCCACAUUGGAACUGAGAAACGGUCCAG
rnacentral:rRNA from 1 species